rnacentral:rRNA from 1 species
GUGGGGAAUAUUGGGCAAUGGGCGCAAGCCUGACCCAGCAACGCCGCGUGAAGGAAGAAGGCUUUCGGGUUGUAAACUUCUUUUACCAGGGACGAAACAAAUGACGGUACCUGGUGAAUAAGCCACGGCUAACUACGUGCCAGCAGCCGCGGUAAUACGUAGGUGGCGAGCGUUAUCCGGAUUUAUUGGGUGUAAAGGGCGUGUAGGCGGGACAGCAAGUCGGAUGUGAAAACCAGAGGCUCAACCUCUGGCCUGCAUUUGAAACUGUUGUUCUUGAGUGUCGGAGAGGUAAUCGGAAUUCCGUGUGUAGCGGUGAAAUGCGUAGAUAUACGGAGGAACACCAGUGGCGAAGGCGGAUUACUGGACGAUAACUGACGCUGAGGCGCGAAAGCGUGGGGAGCAAACAGGAUUAGAUACCCUAGUAGUCC